CGACGUCGGUGACCUUCAUACAACGUUAAACCAACGUUGAAUCUCCGACGUCUAACAGACGUUUCAUUUUGACGUCGACUCGACGUCGGGUUUUGGUCGGUAAUCUGACAAUAUGUGAAUCUAAUUUAUGAAACCAAUAUAUAUAUAAAUGAAAGCAUAAACAGCUAGAAUUUUAAAUUUAAGUUUAGAAAGGGAAAAUGAUAUAUUUAUUUUCUCCAUCAAAACAAUACAGUAUCACGUGGGUGGCUACGUACGAUAUUCGAUAGGUGGCGCUCGGUAAACGGAUAGUCGCAGAUCAGUAUGAAAUAUAUUUGCUCUAUUUUCGUUUAAAUCAUAUCUUAUCUCCUCGAAUUAGUCUAAGAAGUGUUUAUAUAAUUUACAAUGAAGUUGUUAUCAUUUUUGAGGGCUUUAUUUUAUAGUGGUAAAUAAUUUAGUAAAUUCGAAUUGGCGACAUAUAUCGGAUUUGAAAUUCAAUUGUAUUGGCGGACAAAAAAACAACGAGUUGACUGACAAAGUUGAAUAUUCCAAACAAAAUGAAAAGAUUGUGGAAAUUAUGAUAAUUCAACAUCUGGCAAAAGUUCAGGAGGAAGAUGAAAGUAUUAAGAGGAAAAGAAAAAUGAAAACCUACCAAGAUUUUGUGACAGAAAGUGUGAUGAGAUUUCAGGUUGGAGACGGUAAUGAUACGCUUAAACUUUAAAGUAUGCCCCAGACACAGUGUAGGAGGACGAAAGAAGAUACAUAAACAUUGCUAUUUAUAAUAAUGACAAAAUAUUCAGAAUAUUGUUCCAUUUAACAUUCAAUUCUAGAUUCAGUUAUAAAAUACAAAGGCAAAUAUACAAUCAGUGAACUGGAAAGAUGAUUAGAAAAUCCUAAAAUCAGGGUGAUCAGUUCAUGAUCAGUGGUGAUAUAAAAACACAUAUAUGGAUGUUUACUAUACAAAAUGUCAGUGGUAAUAUUCAAGAAGGAUUUUGUGUAUCUAAUUUCUAAAACAUGCUUAUUUAAUACAUAAAGCGUUAUUAAAGUACCUACUUUCAAGUUUAAUAGUUUCAAAAAUAUAUUGUAAAUCUUGCAUUUGUUAUCGUACCACAUUUCUUGUUUGGAACUUGUGAUUCCGAGUAUACAAAUAAAUUGCUAAAAUUAUAAGAAUGCUUAUUUGUUUACCCUAUUAUUACAAAAUCGUAUUCCAAAAGUUUUGAAUGAGGUUAAAGUCUAAAUCAUGGUCAGAAAAUUUGGUCAGAUAAGGUUGGAUUAUGGUCAGAUAAUGGUCAGAAAAGGUUGGAUUAUGGUCAGAAAAGGUCGGAUUAUGUCCAAAUAAUGGUCAGGAAAGGUUGGAUUAGGGUCAGAUAAUGGUCAGAAAAAGUUGGAUUUUGGUCAGAAAAGGUUGGAUAAAGGUCAUUAUAUGACGUUGUAUAGACGUCGGUUUUCUGACGUCUAAAAAACUUUCAAAUCCAACCUUCUGCCAACGUUUACCCAACGUCAGGGUCUAACGUCAGUACAACGUUGGUACAACGUCUUUUGUUUGCUGGGU